rnacentral:rRNA from 1 species
CGCGUAGGCGGUCGGGUAAGUCGGGUGUGAAAGUUCCGGGGCUCCAACCCCGUGAACUGCACUCGAUACUGCUCGACUCGAGAGAGGUAGGGGCGAGUGGAAUUCCCGGUGUAGCGGUGGAAUGCGUAGAUAUCGGGAAGAACACCGGUGGCGAAGGCGGCUCGCUGGUACCUUUUCUGACGCUGAAGCGCGAAAGCGUGGGGAGCAAACA